CCUACGGGAGGCAGCAGUGAGGAAUAUUGGUCAAUGGCCGAGAGGCUGAACCAGCCAAGUCGCGUGCGGGAAGAAUGUCCUAUGGAUUGUAAACCUCUUUUGUCAGGGAGUAAAGUCACCCACGUGUGGGUGUUUGAGUGUACCUGAAGAAAAAGCAUCGGCUAACUCCGUGCCAGCAGCCGCGGUAAUACGGAGGAUCCGAGCGUUAUCCGGAUUUAUUGGGUUAAAAGGGGGCGUAGGCGGGUUAUCAAGUCUGCGGUAAAAUCGUGGAGCUCAACUCCGGCCAGCCGUUGAAACUGGUGAUCUUGAGUGGGCGGGAAGUAUGCGGAAUGCGUGGUGUAGCGGUGAAAUGCAUAGAUAUCACGAAGAACUCCGAUUGCGAAGGCAGCAUACCGGAGCCCGACUGACGCUGAAGCACGAAAGCGUGGGUAUCGAACAGGAUUAGAUACCCCUGUAGUC
rnacentral:rRNA from 1 species